AGGACGAACGCUGGCGGCGUGCUUCACACAUGCAAGUCGAACGGGGCUCAUUCGGUGGUAACACCGGAGAAGGCCUAGUGGCGAACGGGUGCGUAACACGUGAAGAACCUGCCCCGAAGACUGGGAUAACAGCGGGAAACCGCUGCUAAUACCGGAUGACCCCACCAGGCCGCAUGGCCAGGUGAGGAAAUGGGCCUACCGCUUCGGGAGGGCUUCGCGGCCUAUCAGCUUGUGGUGGGGUAACGGCCUACCAAGGCUACGACGGGUAGCUGGUCUGAGAGGACGACCAGCCACACUGGGACUGAGACACGGCCCAGACUCCUACGGGAGGCAGCAGUGGGGAAUCUUGCGCAAUGGGCGAAAGCCUGACGCAGCAACGCCGCGUGAGGGAUGAAGGUCUUCGGGUUGUAAACCUCUUUCGAGCAGGGACGAUUGUGACGGUACCUGCAGAAGAAGCUCCGGCCAACUACGCGCCAGCAGCCGCGGU
rnacentral:rRNA from 1 species